AUCUGGCUUACGAGUCUCAAAUAGGACGAAACGCGAGUCCUGGAU
rnacentral:hammerhead_ribozyme from 1 species